UACCAAUUUAUACCUAAAAAAAAUGAGGUAUAAAGAAAAACAAAUAGAAUUUAGAAAUUGUGGGGGAAAAAGCAUAAGAUAGAUUGGAGGAGAAAUUGAUCGGAAACAGAAAGGCUUUAAAGAAAGCUUUGGAACGACGAAGAAGAAGGCUGAAGGAAUCGAAGAAGAAGAUGCCAUUGGGAAAAUAUUAUUGCGACUACUGCGAUAAGCAAUUUCAAGACACUCCCUUUGCUCGAAAACGCCAUCUUCAAAGUCUCUCUCAUCAGAAGGCCAAAGCUCUUUGGUUCGACUCCUUCAAAGAUUUCAAUCAAUCUUUCCCUCAUUCCUUCCACUUCCGACCACGCAUCUGUAAUCGAUUCCUCUCUACGGGGUUUUGCCAAUACGGCGAUUCUUGUAAAUAUUUUCACCCCAAUAACAACAAUGACAAUACGUACAACUCCAGUUCCUACCCUAUGGCAGGUUUCCCGGAAAAUUAUCAACCCCCAAAUGUUCCGGUUAAUCGAUUUGUAGACGGCAACUCUUCUUCCACAGGUAGUUUAAUUAGCGAUAGACUGGGAACAUCAUGGGGAAAUUUACCUCCAUCACUGAUGCCUCCUCCAGACGGUGGAUACCCACCUCUUCCUUUCGUAGAUUGGGGAUAAUCCAUCAAGAUCAGCUAUUUGUUCAACUCUCAUCAGUUCUCUGGUUUCUGGGAUGUGCUACUCUAUUUAUGCGGAAAUUUUGUACAAAUUUGUUGUCUUCAACAUCGAGCAAAUGUGCUUUUCUCUUGUUCCCCCUUCGGGUGCCAACUAGCCCUCAAAUUUCAACAGAUGCUGAUAUGUGAUAUAUUAACAUUUGUAUUUGGUAAAAGAGAAGCAAUCUGCAGAAAAGCAACUCAAGCAAGAAGGUAUUCCUUAAAGUUCUAACAGUCAGUAAUUGACGGUAGUAUAUUUGUCCCAAGAAAAAACAAAUCCAGGUACCUCUCGUGCACGUGAUACUUCACCGUCCUCCAGUACAAUUGGUACUUUCUGCAGCAGACAAAAGUAAUAACAAAUAAUCAACCUCCCAGAAGAAAUAGACCCUCAAGCAAACUAAACUCCAGAGACUGGGAGUUCCAAUUUUAUCAGAUGUCCCCGAAAGGACCUCCGGAGACUAGGAGAUAAUACAUAUUAAGCAAAUUAUCUACCUGAGGCUUCCAUCCCAUUUCAUCAGGACAUCGAAAAGUGGCUUCAUUAAAGGCUUGGCGUUCGAUAGCAAAUCUUGAAGCACCACUAUUCACUCCCAAGUGAAGCUGAAGGAAGAACAGUAACAAUUUCUGAGUCAUCACUCAGAACAGUAACGAGGAUAACAAUAUUAAGUUAUUAACAUGAUGCAAGGCCCAAACUUGCACAAGUUCUGCUUUAAGGUUUGCUGUUUCUCUUCUCAAUAAUCACAGUCAAGUGAGGAAAUGGCAAAUGAAGACAGCUAAAUGCUUCCUGAACUUGAUGAUCUGUAUUUCAGAAUUAUGAUACACAUAUCUAAAUUGUUUAAGACGUCGAUUCCAUUUAUAUGAUUUUAUAUAAAACCAACUUUUUUCCUAGUA